rnacentral:rRNA from 1 species
CCUACGGGUGGCUGCAGUCGAGAAUCAUUCACAAUGGGGGAAAACCUGAUGGUGCGACGCCGCGUGGGUGAAUGAAGGUCUUCGGAUUGUAAACCCCUGUCAUGUGGGAGCAAAUUAAAAAGAUAGUACCACAAGAGGAAGAGACGGCUAACUCUGUGCCAGCCGCCGCGGUAAUACCGAGGUCUCAAGCGUUGUUCGGAAUCACUGGGCGUAAAGCGUGCGUAGGCUGUUUCGUAAGUCGGGUGUGAAAGGCGCGGGCUCAACCCGCGGACGGCACAUGAUACUGGGAGACUAGAGUAAAGGAGGGGGAACCGGAAUUCUCGGUGUAGCAGUGAAAUGCGUAGAUAUCGAGAGGAACACUCGUGGCGAAGGCGGGUUCCUGGACAUUAACUGACGCUGAGGCACGAAGGCCAGGGGAGCGAAAGGGAUUAGAUACCCUUGUAGUC